rnacentral:rRNA from 1 species
GAUGAACGCUGGCGGCGUGCCUAAUACAUGCAAGUCGAGCGAACGGACGAGAAGCUUGCUUUUCUGAUGUUAGCGGCGGACGGGUGAGUAACACGUGGAUAACCUACCUAUAAGACUGGGAUAACUUCGGGAAACCGGAGCUAAUACCGGAUAAUAUUUUGAACCGCAUGGUUCAAAAGUGAAAGACGGUCUUGCUGUCACUUAUAGAUGGAUCCGCGCUGCAUUAGCUAGUUGGUAAGGUAACGGCUUACCAAGGCAACGAUGCAUAGCCGACCUGAGAGGGUGAUCGGCCACACUGGAACUGAGACACGGUCCAGACUCCUACGGGAGGCAGCAGUAGGGAAUCUUCCGCAAUGGGCGAAAGCCUGACGGAGCAACGCCGCGUGAGUGAUGAAGGUCUUCAGAUCGUAAAACCCUGUUAUUAGGGAAGAACAUAUGUGUAAGUAACUGUGCACAUCUUGACGGUACCUAAUCAGAAAGCCACGGCUAACUACGUG